rnacentral:rRNA from 1 species
UACAGAGGUCCCAAGCGUUGUUCGGAUUCACUGGGCGUAAAGGGUGCGCAGGUGGCAUGGUAAGUUUGGUGUGAAAGCUUCGGGCUUAACCCGGAAAUGGCAUUGAAAACUACUGUGCUGGAGGAUCGGAGGGGGGACUGGAAUUCUUGGUGUAGCAGCGAAAUGCGUAGAUAUCAAGAGGAACACCAGUGGCGAAGGCGAGUCCCUGGACGAUACCUGACACUGAGGCACGAAAGCCAAGGGAGCAAACAGG